AUUGAACGCUGGCGGCAUGCUUUACACAUGCAAGUCGAACGGUAACAGGGUGCUUGCACCGCUGACGAGUGGCGAACGGGUGAGUAAUGCGUCGGAACGUGCCGAGUAGUGGGGGAUAACGCAGCGAAAGUUGUGCUAAUACCGCAUACGUACUGAGGUAGAAAGUGGGGGACCUUCGGGCCUCACGCUAUUCGAGCGGCCGACGUCUGAUUAGCUAGUAGGUGAGGUAAAGGCUCACCUAGGCGACGAUCAGUAGCGGGUCUGAGAGGCUGAUCCGCCACACUGGGACUGAGACACGGCCCAGACUCCUACGGGAGGCAGCAGUGGGGAAUUUUGGACAAUGGGCGAAAGCCUGAUCCAGCCAUGCCGCGUGUCUGAAGAAGGCCUUCGGGUUGUAAAGGACUUUUGUCAGGGAGGAAAUCCCUAGUGCUAAUAACACUGGGGGAUGACAGUACCUGAAGAGUAAGCACCGGCUAACUACGUGCCAGCAGCCGCAGUAA
rnacentral:rRNA from 1 species